UAGACACCACCAGCCCUUGUUGUUGUUGUUGUUAUUCCUUAACACCAAGACAGCCGGGACAGGCAGACCAACGAUCAAAGGCAUUGCAGAAAGUUCCAAACAUGGUAAGAAGCCACUUAGUGUAAGCUACAAUGAACAAGAAGAAAUUGAGAUGAAAGGAAUGAAUUUACUUCAGAAUCGAAAGAGUUCAGGUCAUAAGAAGGAAAAACAACAAUGAGAUGGAAGAGAAUUUCAAAGUCUGGCAAUGUUUUAGGGAAAAGCUACAACCAUAGAAAGUCUGCCUCAUUUAUGGAAGCACAACGGCAUUUGGAUGAAGACAGGGUGCCUUAAUGUAAUUUGAUGAGCCAAAGGAACAUAAGAAGCAAUUAGAAUAUAAUGAGAUUACAAGAUUCAAGAAAGCCAAGAUCAUUUAUAACACACACACUGUUGGCGCCAUUGGAUUUAAUCUUUAUUCUAUUUUUCUUCUAAACUUUUAUUGACUGUUGUUGUUGUUGUUGGUAGUGGUGGUGGUGGUGGUGGUGGUAGUUGUCGUUGUUGUGCCAGAGCUGCUUUCUUUUAUAGUAUCACGUGAAUUAGUUGUACUCUAAAUCUGAUAGAUUUCGAAAUAAAGUUGAACAGCAGAACACUUUUUUAAAAUACAACAACAACAACAACAACAACAGCAAUGGCAAUGAUGACGAGGAUGACGACAACAACAACAAUAACAACAGCUUUGAAACUGAAAUAAAACCAUGCUGGUGGAAAAGGUGAAUGGGGGGGGGUAAAAAUAGAAACAAGAGAGAGAGAGAAAUAAGGAAAACCCUAUGAGUGGCUGGUGACUAUUAUGC
rnacentral:lncRNA from 1 species